AUAUACAUACACACCCAUAAUU
rnacentral:miRNA from 1 species